AUUGAACGCUGGCGGCAUGCUUUACACAUGCGAGUCGAACGGCAGCGCGGGCUUCGGCCUGGCGGCGAGUGGCGAACGGGUGAGUAAUGCAUCGGAACGUGCCCAGUAGUGGGGGAUAGCCCGGCGAAAGCCGGAUUAAUACCGCAUACGACCUGAGGGUGAAAGCGGGGGACCGAAAGGCCUCGCGCUAUUGGAGCGGCCGAUGUCGGAUUAGCUAGUUGGUGGGGUAAAGGCUUACCAAGGCGACGAUCCGUAGCUGGUCUGAGAGGACGACCAGCCACACUGGGACUGAGACACGGCCCAGACUCCUACGGGAGGCAGCAGUGGGGAAUUUUGGACAAUGGGGGCAACCCUGAUCCAGCCAUGCCGCGUGCGGGAAGAAGGCCUUCGGGUUGUAAACCGCUUUUGUUCGGGAAGAAAUCCUCUGGGCUAAUACCCCGGGGGGAUGACGGUACCGAAAGAAUAAGCACCGGCUAACUACGUG
rnacentral:rRNA from 1 species